rnacentral:rRNA from 1 species
GGCCAGACUCCUACGGGAGGCAGCAGUGGGGAAUAUUGCACAAUGGGGGAGACCCUGAUGCAGCGACGCCGCGUGAGUGAAGAAGUAUUUCGGUAUGUAAAGCUCUCUCAGCAGGGAAGAAAAUGACGGUACCUGACUAAGAAGCCCCGGCUAACUACGUGCCAGCAGCCGCGGUAAUACGUAGGGGGCAAGCGUUAUCCGGAUUUACUGGGUGUAAAGGGAGCGUAGACGGCGAUGCAAGUCUGAAGUGAAAGGCGGGGGCCCAACCCCCGGACUGCUUUGGAAACUGUAUGGCUGGAGUGCAGGAGAGGUAAGUGGAAUUCCUAGUGUAGCGGUGAAAUGCGUAGAUAUUAGGAGGAACACCAGUGGCGAAGGCGGCUUACUGGACUGUAACUGACGUUGAGGCUCGAAAGCGUGGGUAGCGAACGGGAUUAGAUACCCCAGUACC